rnacentral:misc_RNA from 1 species
UUCGUUUUAUAGUUUCAUCAGUAGCACCAAAUGAUUACAGUGCCCUGAUUAUUACCGAGAUUAGAUGAGGACAUUGGAAGCAUAUUUUAUUUCCGUGAACCACGUUAAAAAUUACAAUCCUGAGGCGAAUUGAAACUAUGUAACAGCCUAACAAAUUAAUCACAUUCUGCUUAAUUCACUAGCGCUCCUCAUAUCUGCUAACAAAUCAUAAAGAAACAAGAUCCAGCACUAAUAUCAACAAGGAGUAUCGUUUGCUAUUUUGGAGUUAGCUGAAAGCAGCAUCAAAUCUUCUCCCCUCUUCAGAUGAUUAUACUUGGGGAUCCAACAUCAUGCCCGUUUCUAGUUAUAACUCAAUUUGCUAAUUACCCAUCCUUAUGAGGUAUCAGUAGCAUUGCCCUCU